UACAGAGGGUGCAAGCGUUAAUCGGAAUUACUGGGCGUAAAGCGUGCGUAGACGGUUAUGUAAGUCAGAUGUGAAAGCCCCGGGCUUAACCUGGGAAUGGCAUUUGAGACUGCAUAGCUAGGGUGCGGAAGAGGGAAGCGGAAUUUCCGGUGUAGCGGUGAAAUGCGUAGAUAUCGGAAGGAACACCAGUGGCGAAAGCGGCUUCCUGGUCCAGCACCGACGUUCAGGCACGAAAGCGUGGGGAGCAA
rnacentral:rRNA from 1 species